AUUGAACGCUGGCGGAAUGCUUUACACAUGCAAGUCGAACGGCAGCACGGGGGCAACCCUGGUGGCGAGUGGCGAACGGGUGAGUAAUACAUUGGAACGUGCCCGGUCGUGGGGGAUAACGUAGCGAAAGUUACGCUAAUACCGCAUACGAUCUGAGGAUGAAAGCGGGGGACCUUCGGGCCUCGCGCGAUCGGAGCGGCCGAUGUCAGAUUAGGUAGUUGGUGGGGUAAAGGCCUACCAAGCCGACGAUCUGUAGCUGGUCUGAGAGGACGACCAGCCACACUGGGACUGAGACACGGCCCAGACUCCUACGGGAGGCAGCAGUGGGGAAUUUUGGACAAUGGGCGCAAGCCUGAUCCAGCCAUUCCGCGUGCAGGACGAAGGCCUUCGGGUUGUAAACUGCUUUUGUAUGGAACGAAAAGGCUCUGGCUAAUACCUGGGGCUCAUGACGGUACCGUAAGAAUAAGCACCGGCUAACUACGUG
rnacentral:rRNA from 1 species